rnacentral:rRNA from 1 species
CACGGGGGGGGCAAGCGUUGUUCGGAAUCACUGGGCGUAAAGGGCGUGUAGGCGGUCAAGUAAGUGGAAUGUGAAAGCCCCCGGCUUACCCGGGGAUCUGCAUCCCAAACUGCUUGGCUUGAGUACGGGAGAGGAUAGGGGAAUUCCUGGUGUAGCGGUGAAAUGCGUAGAUAUCAGGAGGAACACCGAUGGCGAAGGCAGGUCUCUGGGCCACUACUGACGCUGAGAAGCGAAAGCAUGGGGAGCGAACAGG